rnacentral:rRNA from 1 species
CCUACGGGUGGCAGCAGUGAGGAAUAUUGGUCAAUGGACGAGAGUCUGAACCAGCCAAGUAGCGUGAAGGAGGACUGUCCUGUGUGUUGUAAACCUCUUUUAUAUGGGAAUAAAAUGUUCCACGUGUGGGAUUUUGUAUGUACCAUAUGAAUAAGGAUCGGCUAACUCCAUGCCAGCAGCCGCGGUAAUACGGAGGAUCCGAGCGUUAUCCGGAUUUAUUGGGUUUAAAGGGAGCGUAGGUGGAUUGUUAAGUCAGUUGUGAAAGUUUGCGGCUCAACCGUAAAAUUGCAGUUGAAACUGGCAGUCUUGAGUACAAUAGAGGUGGGCGGAAUGCGCGGUGUAGCGGUGAAAUGCUUAGAUAUCACGAAGAACUCCGAUUGCGAAGGCAGCUCACUGGCCUCACACUGACACUGAGGCUCGAAAGUGUGGGUAUCAAACAGGAUUAGAUACCCGAGUAGUC